rnacentral:lncRNA from 1 species
GUGAGAUGCGUGAUAGAAGGACAUAUCCCACAUCACGUGCACUGAAGACAAAGCUGUGAAAGGAUAGAGUGUGGGGAGGGGCUUCUGUCUCAGAUGUGGAGGUCAGGGACGUCCUCCCCAGCGGGUGACUUUGGAGCAGGGGCCUGAGGGACGUGGGCAGCCCGGCAGACCCCUCAUUACAUGUGUUAAAGCCUCCUCCGGUGGGGGGCUGGGCAGAGGCUAUUGCAGUUGUCCAAACUUCCUGCAAUGGCAGAACAUUCUAGAUCCGCACUGUCCAGUAAGGUGGCCACGAGUCACACGUGACUGUCGAGCUCUGGAAAUGCAGCUGGUGCAGCUAAGGAGCUGAAUUUUAAAUUGUAUUUAAUUCUUGUCACUUUAAAUGUAAAUGUCUACCCAUGGCUAGCAGUGACAGGGCAGGCCCACCUGGCCUUGGCGAAGCAGGGUUCCCAUUCCACCGUGACCUGGCAGGAGAUGUCAGACCGCAGCUGAGGGCCCUGCUGGUUUCCUACGAGGAGGCUGCAGAUGGGAAUGAGGACCUCACGGUCAAGGGCGUGGACACCUCCCGCCUGACAGAUGACACAUUUGUGAGUGGGUCCCCAGAGGUCUGCCCUGGCACCUGACAACCCCGGGAGGCAGGAACAGGUUAGAGCCAACUGUGGAGCUCAUCAGAGAGGUGACUUUCAGUACCAAAAGGGUGUUUUCCAAGGGAAAUCCUGCCGCACAGGGCAAAUGAAAGCAGGUCAGGGCUCACCAGUCACUGCAGAAUCCGCCGGCCCACAUGUCCCUGGUCUUCAGAGGUGGGAACAGCCAGCUGGGAAGGAAUCCACCUGCCCCCAUGGCCUGUGGAUCUGAGGACUCCUCUCCCACCUCCUGUGCCAACCAUUGUUUGGUGAAGGCGCCCUUGCUCCCAGCCCGCUCUCCUCUGACAUUCUUUGGUGAACAUCCCAUCUCCUUUUCUCCAGAACCAGCCGGCUCAGACCACCCACAUAUUUUACAGUUACUGGGCUUCUAUGUUCCACAGAGGGUGCUUGGCUGGGGGGACAGGGGAGGGGACAGAGCCUCAGGCCAGGUGCAGGGAGGACGGUGCUGGCCAUAGGGCUGGGGCAGCCUCAGGUCACACCACCAUUCCAGCACUCUCUGUGUGGCUCCAGGGACUCAGCGUCGCCACCUGGGAGUUGGGAUGGGGGCUCAGGCAGAGGCGCUGGUUCGUUGUCCCACAGAUCAAGCCUCUCUGAGUCCUCGGCUGUCUUGGUGGAGACUCCAAAGGUGAGGCCGGACUGCAUGUCCCAUGACCCUUCUCCACCGGGCAGGGCCAAGGACCCUGCAGCAAGGGCCCUUCAUGCCGGGCUCACCACCCUGUUCCCUCCAUGACCUCGCCAAAAGCCUCCCGCUCCCACCCCCGGCUUUGGGACGGUCAAACAGGUGAGGGCUGGGGGUCCUGCCCCGGGGGGAGGAUGACAGGCGACGGGAGGAGUGCCUGGCAUGGCCGAAGAGAACACGGCAGUGGGGUGUGUGUCAGCAGCAGUGGCACAGCCAAACCCCGGCAGGCUUCAUGCAGAAGGCGGCAUCUGGGGAGAAGUUAAAAGCUGAGCAGGAGCCAGCGGGUGAAGUGGGAAACGGAGAAAGGGCUAUAGCCUGUGCCCAGCUCUCCCUGUCAGCCUGAGAUGAGGGACAUCUUUUGUGUCCGGGCACUGCCUGGGUUGCUUGGACAGAAGCCUCAGAGCUGGAAGGAGCUGAGAAACCACAAGCUCCAAUGCUCACGCCCCAUAGGGGACCGAGGAACCGCAGAAGGGACCGCACCUGCCCGGUGGCCAGCAACGGAAGGACGGCAGGGAGCGAACACACUCCAGCCCCUACGGUCUCUCCGCUCUCCCAGCUGAGCUGUCUUCCCCGGAGGCCGGGCUGCAACCCGAGAAGGCGCCGCGCCAUCGGCCCUCACCCUGCUCCGCCUAAGCUGCUGCUUUUCCUCUGCAAAUGCCCUGGGCUGGACGUCAAACCACAGUCAGGUAGGGGCGGCCCAGACCAGGGACCAGCAGCUGGUUCCCUCUGCCUGGUCUCACUUCUAAAGCCACUGGAAGAGGAAACACAUAAAAUGUGACUUUGCAGAGGAAUUCCAAUAAACAAGAUGUGUUUCCAAGUCUUCUGAGGCUGCCGAGACUGAGUAGCUGCGUGUGAGCAGCCACAACUCCUCUGUUGUCCUCCUGCAAAGUGUCCCCGCCCUCCCACUCAGGUCGCGUUCCUCCGGCCGCCCCCGGCUGCUCCCGCCACAGGAGACUGGACGGUGGGCUCUGGCCUUGGGGACCUCCGGCCCUGCCUGCAGCAGGCCCCAGUGUGUGUGGGCGAGAGGGCCGGGCCAGCUGACUCCUGUCUUUCUUUGGGACCACGUCAUCAAGCGGGCUGGAGCCAGAGGCUGGGCCCCUCUGUGUCCCGGGGAUCCUCACCCCCCAGGUCCCCAGUGCUGUCCUUGUCACCACUGAACGGCAGUUUCUCCCCACCCCGUGCUUCAGUUUACCUGUCCGGACCAGGGGUGGCAACCUCUUUUCCAGAACGGGGCAGAAGGUGAAUGCAGUUCACUCUAGUUCUCUGCAUUGUGUCUUCUUUUUAAAGAAAAUAACCCUUUACAAAUGAAGGGUUGGCCGGGUGCAGUGGCUCACGCCUGUAAUCCCAGCACUUUAA